UACGAAGGGGACUAGCGUUGUUCGGAAUUACUGGGCGUAAAGCGCACGUAGGCGGAUUUGUAAGUCAGGGGUGAAAUCCUGGAGCUCAACUCCAGAACUGCCUUCGAUACUGGCGAUCUUGAGUCCGGAAGAGGUGAGUGGAACUCCUAGUGUAGAGGUGGAAUUCGUAGAUAUUAGGAAGAACACCAGUGGCGAAGGCGGCUCACUGGUCCGGUACUGACGCUGAGGUGCGAAAGCGUGGGGAGCAAACAGG
rnacentral:rRNA from 1 species